AUUGAACGCUGGCGGCAGGCUUAACACAUGCAAGUCGAGCGAGCGGCGGACGGGUGAGUAAUGUCUGGGAAACUGCCUGAUGGAGGGGGAUAACUACUGGAAACGGUAGCUAAUACCGCAUACCAUCAGCUGUGCCCAGAUGGGAUUUGCUAGUAGGUGGGGUAAUGUCUCACCUAGGAGACGAUCCCUAGCUGGUCGAAGAGGAUGACCGGCCACACUGGAACUGUGACACGGUCCGAAGUCCGACGGGAGGCAGCAGUGGGGAAUAUUGCACAAUGGGCGCAAUCCAGAUGAAGCCAUGCCGCUGGUGUGAAGAAGGCCGUCGGGUGGAAAAGCACUUUCAGCGAGGAGGCGUUACUGGCAGAAGAAGCACCGGCUAACUCCGUGCCAGCAGCCGCGGUAAUUC
rnacentral:rRNA from 1 species